rnacentral:rRNA from 1 species
CACUGAAACACCAAUUUCCAUACGAUCACUGAAGUUAAGCAAUGUCGAGUCUGGUCAGUAUCUAGAUGGGUGACCGCUUGGGAAAACCAGGUGCUGUAA